ensembl:lncRNA
CCCGGAAGUGAUUGUGGGGGUUUGUGGACAAUACGGUGAAGUCAUUUUGUAAACAUAGUUGCUCGCUCUUAGUUGCUCUCUUAAAGAUCGAAGUUUCUGUGAUUUGAACGGGUAUUUUAUUUAUUUUAAACAGAAUCAGAUCGCGUUAUAUAAUUUUUUUCUGGACUUUUGAAAGGUUGUAAACUCAUGCAUUUCACCAAAGUUGUUGACUGGUUACUGUAUAGCUAGCCAUCAUAUCACCUGAGCAAGAAGCUGUCUCCACAACAGUACAGUAGGGCAAAACGUUUCAUUCUCUGUACCCAGCAUUUAAAAAAUUAUGAAUUCUUUCCAUAGAAGAGGAAUGUUUUCUUUUUUCCAAAAUCAAGAAGACGCUCAAGCAGUUGAAAAUGCUGUCCGAACAGCGAUACAUACCGUUGUGAAUGUUAUUUCUAGGAUCAACAGUGCCAAAAUACAAGAAUAUCAAAGGAAGUUUGCUGAGAAGGACAGAGAAAACGAAACGCUAAAACGUAGAGUUAAAAAAGCAGAACGAGAAAUAUCAGCACUGCGAGGCUCCUUAGAACUUUCUGGAAAUGAAUGUCAUCAAGUCAGAUCGAACAAUUAUGCUCCUUCGCCAGAAAUGUCAAGUGGGGAACCAACUUGCCAUAAAAAUGAAGUGGCGUGUGAAGCUGAGUGGAGAAUAGAUUUCCCCAGUAUUGAUGCACCUCCACACAGUUCAUCCCACUGCCAAAACACAGCCCCUCCCACUGGUGCAGCUCUUGAUAUGGCCCAUCACCAGAGCGCUCCCUUCCAUUCUGAGUCUGGUUUUUCAGCAGUGAGAUCCAAAGGCCAGUCUCCAUCACCCUGUCAAGUCAUCAGCCCAAUAAUAAAAGAGGAGCCCGAUGAUAUGGAGACUUUCUACAUCAAAUGGGAAAUGAGUGAAGAGAACAUCAUGGAGCAACAGGAAGGCCUCGGCUCAAUGCACAUCCUGGGAAAAGACAGAGAAGCCCAUCAGGGCGGUGGAGCUCCAACAGACGGAACUCAAUUUGUUGCUGUUAACCCAAGCAGACAUGAGUAUGGGGAGAGACUAACCAGGCAUCUGAAAAGGAGGCUGUCGAGUGCAGAGACUCAGCGGAGGUUCAGAGAGAGAUUGCGUGCUGACCCUGAGAAGUACCUGGCCUACAAGGAGAAGGAACGACGCAGGAAUCAGCAGAGAAAGGUGUCGAUAUCAGAUCUACCUGAAGAGACCCGCAGACUAAAGAGGGAGGCCUGGAGAGAAGCAUCCAGACGCUGUCGUGCCCGUAAAAUGUCCUCCCUCCAGAUGAACCCCGCCCAGCCCUGCCACCUCCCCCCCGAAGUAACUGGGGGAACUCUGGGAUGCCGUAGGGGCAGGCAGUAGGGUGGCCAUAGAUCAUAUCUGUUAUUUCCUUUGUUGGUUAAAUGGAUAACUUUGGUAUUAAAUUGGAAUGAACCAAUUACUCAGUGAAUUGGUUGAGGUGAACUGUAAUGGAACUGUCAGUAAAAAUAUUUCAGGGGAAACCCAAUGUGCUUUGUCUUUGUUACAUUGAAACACAUUUUGGUCUUCAUUUUGACAAUUAAUUUCAAACUGCAAUUUUUUCCAUUCACCUGUUAUUGGGUUUGCAG